AUUUUAUUAAUAUAAAUAAAUAUAUUUAAUUUCCAAUUAAAAAAUAAUUAUAAAAUU
rnacentral:tRNA from 1 species